AAAGAAUAUUGGAGUCACUGGGACAAUUUAUUGUUCUCAUACAUUCCUGGGCUGCAAAUGCUGAAGAUGACAGUUAAGGAAGAUGAAAACUCCAUAAAAGGAGAUCCUGGUAAGGAACAUGGAACUAACAAUCCAACACCAACUGGAAGAAUUGGUAAUGGUCAAAAGGAGAUGCCACAUGUCCUACCAAUCUCCCAGAAAUCUCCUUGCUGGAAUCCAUCUUGGCUGAGCAAAGUGUGUACCAUCAAGAAGGACCUUGAGCCAGAAUGAUUGGCCAGAGGCAACCUGGAAACUAAUCCCAUUACUGUAAAGCCUGAGACUGAGCCACGUGGCAGAGCAGCCCUCCUGGGAUCCCUCAUCUUCCUGCUCUCCGCCCUUCUCAAUAAAGUCGCUUGCUUCGUCAGCAUCUGUGUCUCCUUGGACAAUUCAUUUCUGAGCGUUAGACAAGAGCCCACUCUCGGGGGCUGGAAGGAGUCCUCUGUCCCACAAAAUGAGGACCUUCCAAGAAGUACAAAGUUUUAGUUGUGACGUAAUAAACUGGAUUAAAAUUUUCUUGCAU
ensembl:lncRNA